CCAGUCGGUCCUUCCACCAGGCGCCGGUAAGAAUCGGAGCGCACGGAACAAAUAUUUGAUAUAUUUGUUCAGCUGCUGCAGAUUGGACAGACACCAACAUCACCUUACACACCAACAGGUGUCACCACCGUCCAUGACGUCGUCCACGAUUGCCAAAACGUUGUCCAUGACUGGCGAGACCUGGUCCAUGAUCGCAGAGACUAUGUCAAGCAUCAGAAACCAUCAAAAAAUGCCAUAAUAUGGUGUCACUGCUUCCUCCACAACAUCAUCCACAAUCGCAGAGACAUGGUCCAUGAUCAGAGAGACAUUGUUGAGGAUGAGGGAGACAUUGUCCAUAUUGUAGAGACCUUUUCAAAAAUGAGAGAGACGUUGUCUACAAUCAGAGACACUGCCCAUGUUCGGAGAGACCUUGUCCAUGAUCUCAGAGUGCCCUCGUACAAUGAAGACAUUCUUUGAGACCAGGACAGAGUCCUCCAGGUAAUUCACAAACACAUUUACAUCAACUGUCCAACACAGAGCACUGACAAACUGUUUAUGCUCAGUAUUUUAUCUACAGUCUGAAUAGUUCAUAAUUUGUCACAAAAUAGACUUAACCCAUUAAUGACGUUUAUUUACAUAGUUCAUGUAAGAACAGUUCUAAGAAAAAAAGGAAUUUAAGGAACUAUCUUAAAGCAGCCAUCUUAAUUUUGUUUUCCACAGAUACAGAUAUUUGAUAUUUGUUUGUCCUUUUGUUUUGGCAUUUUGCUAUUUCAAACAGCGCAAUAUUAGACUCAAAUUGAAUCUAUUGCUGUGUAUAUAGUCAUGCUAAAUACUGCUCAUAUUGUAUAUAAUUUUUAUAUUCUAUAUAUAUAUUAAUUGUACUAUU